CCUACGGGGUGCAGCAGUGAGGAAUAUUGGUCAAUGGGCGAGAGCCUGAACCAGCCAAGUCGCGUGAGGGAAGACGGUCCUAUGGAUUGUAAACCUCUUUUGCCGGGGAGCAAAAAGCGGUACGUGUACCGCAUCGAGAGUACCCGGAGAAAAAGCAUCGGCUAACUCCGUGCCAGCAGCCGCGGUAAUACGGAGGAUGCGAGCGUUAUCCGGAUUUAUUGGGUUUAAAGGGUGCGCAGGCGGCGGGUUAAGUCAGCGGUAAAAUUUCGGGGCUCAACCCCGACAAGCCGUUGAAACUGGGUUGCUAGAGUGGGCGAGAGGUAGGCGGAAUGCGUGGUGUAGCGGUGAAAUGCUUAGAUAGUGCGCAGAACUCCGAUUGCGAAGGCAGCAUACCGGCGGCGAUCUGACGCUGAGGCACGAAAGCGUGGGUAUCGAACAGGAUUAGAUACCCGUGUAGUC
rnacentral:rRNA from 1 species